GAUGAACGCUGGCGGCGUGCCUAAUACAUGCAAGUCGAGCGAAACUGCUUUGUGACCGAGCGCUUGCGCUCAGCGAUAAAGGGGUGAGUGGCGAACGGGUGAGCAACAUGUGGGCAAGCUGCCCCAAAGGGGGGGAAAACACUAUACCACAUGAGCUCAUACCGCAUAAGCAUAAUGACCGCAUGGUAACUAUGCAUAAGGUAGCUAUACUACCGCUUUUGGAUGGGUCGGGGGGGCAUUAGCGAGUUGGCAGGGCAAAGGCUCACAAAGGCAAUGAUGCGUAGCCGAAUUGAGGGGUGGAUCGGCCACAUUGGAACUGAGACACGGCCCAAACUCCUACGGGAGGCAGCAGUAGGGAAUCUUGGACAAUGGGGGAAAGCCUGAUGGAGAAACGCGGCGGGGGUGAAGAAGGUCUUCGGAUCGUAAAACCCGGUUGUUGGGGAAGAAGGUGCGUGGGGGUGAAUGUUCACGUAGCGACGGUAUCUAACCAGAAAGCCACGGCUAACUACGUG
rnacentral:rRNA from 1 species